AUUGAACGCUGGCGGAAUGCUUUACACAGUGCAAGUCGAACGGUAGAGGGGCAACCCUUGAGAGUGGCGAACGGGUGAGUAAUGCAUCGGAACGUGCCGUGUAGUGGGGAUAACGUAGCGAAAGUUACGCUAAUACCGCAUACGAUCUACGGAUGAAAGCGGGGGACCGUAAGGCCUCGCGCGAUUGGAGCGGCCGAUGUCAGAUUAGGUAGUUGGUGGGGUAAAGGCUCACCAAGCCAACGAUCUGUAGCUGGUCUGAGAGGACGACCAGCCACACUGGGACUGAGACACGGCCCAGACUCCUACGGGAGGCAGCAGUGGGGAAUAUUGGGCAAUGGAGGAAACUCUGACCCAGCGACGCCGCGUGCGGGAUGAAGGCCUUCGGGUUGUAAACCGCUUUCAGCAGGGAAGAAGCGAAAGUGACGGUACCUGCAGAAGAAGCACCGGCUAACUAUGUG
rnacentral:rRNA from 1 species